AUAGAAUCUUUGGAUAAAUCAAAGGCGUAAAUUUCUUUGUUGGGUAGGGGAGCGUCCUGCAUGAGGUGAAGCCUGGAGGUGACUUCUGGUGGAUUGUGUGGGAGUGAGAAUGCAGGCAUGAGUAACGAAUCUGCGGUGAGAAUCCGCAGCGCCGAUUGACUAAGGGUUCCAGGGCUAGGUUUAUCCGCCCUGGGUUAGUCGGGUCCUAAGGCGAGGCCGACAGGCGUAGUCGAUGGACAACCAGUUGAUAUUCUGGUACCGCGUUAUGACCGCCCAUGCUGAAGUCAUUGUGCUAACCAAUUUGCUCACACCACUUUUAAACCUUCGGGUUUGAGAGUGUGUGUGGGUCUUGGGGCCCCGGUGAUUGUAGGCAAGCGUGUUAACAGGGGUGACGCAGACAGGUAGCUGCAGUGCGCCGAUGGUUGUGCGUAUUUAAGGUUGUGGCCCGUCCCUCAGGUAAAUCCGGGGGGCACCAAGGGUGAGAACUGAUGAGGGUGACACGAUAGUGUCGUCUUGUGGUGAUCCUAUGCUGCCGAGAAAAGCCUCGACGUGAGGGCAUGACGCGCCCGUACCCUAAACCGACUCAGGUGGUCAGGUAGAGUAUACCGAGGCGUUCGAGUGAAUCGUGGUUAAGGAACUCGGCAAAAUUCCUCCGUAACUUCGGGAUAAGGAGGACCCCGUGACUUCCCCGCGCCUUGCGUGCGGGUGGGGUUGUGGGGUCGCAGAGAAUAGGGAGAAGCGACUGUUUAUCAAAAACACAGGUGCGUGCGAAGCCGUAAGGCGAUGUAUACGCACUGACGCCUGCCCGGUGCUGGAAGGUUAAGAGGAACCGUCAACAUCCUUCGGGUUGUGAAGCGGUGAAUUUAAGCCCCAGUAAACGGCGGUGGUAACUAUAACCAUCCUAAGGUAGCGAAAUUCCUUGUCGGGUAAGUUCCGACCUGCACGAAUGGCGUAACGACUUCUCCGCUGUCUCAACCGCGAACUCGGUGAAAUUGCAGUACGAGUAAAGAUGCUCGUUUCGCGCAGAAGGACGGAAAGACCCCGGGACCUUUACUAUAGCUUGGUAUUGGUGUUCGCUUGGACUUGUGUAGGAUAGGUGGGAGACUGUGAAGCUGCCGCGCCAGCGGUGGUGGAGUCGUCGUUGAAAUACCAUUCUGGUUCAAGCGGUCACCUCAACCUUGGCCCGUGAUCCGGGUUGGGGACAGUGCCUGGUGGGUAGUUUAACUGGGGCGGUUGCCUCCUAAAAUGUAACGGAGGCGCUCAAAGGUUCCCUCAGCCUGGUUGGUAAUCAGGUGGCGAGUGCAAGUGUACAAGGGAGCUUGACUGUGAGACCGACGGGUCGAGCAGGUGCGAAAGCAGGAACUAGUGAUCCGGCCAUGGCACGUGGGUGCGUGGUCGCUCAACGGAUAAAAGGUACCCCGGGGAUAACAGGCUGAUCUUGCCCAAGAGUCCAUAUCGACGGCAUGGUUUGGCACCUCGAUGUCGGCUCGUCGCAUCCUGGGGCUGGAGUCGGUCCCAAGGGUUGGGCUGUUCGCCCAUUAAAGCGGUACGCGAGCUGGGUUCAGAACGUCGUGAGACAGUUCGGUCCCUAUCCUCUGUGCGCGCAGGAAAUUUGAGAAGGGCCGUCCCUAGUACGAGAGGACCGGGAUGGACGAACCUCUGGUGUGCCAGUUGUACCGCCAGGUGCAUGGCUGGUUGGCUACGUUCGGAAGGGAUAACCGCUGAAAGCAUCUAAGCGGGAAGCCUGCUUCAAGAUGAGGUUUCCACGCCCCCACCGUGGGGUGAGAGGCCCCCGCCAGACUAGCGGGUUGAUAGGCCAGAGGUGGAAGCACAGCAAUGUGCUCGUGAGCCGACUGGUACUAAUGGGCCAACACUAAACAAC
rnacentral:rRNA from 1 species